rnacentral:rRNA from 1 species
UACGUAGGGUGCAAGCGUUGUCCGGAAUUAUUGGGCGUAAAGAGCUCGUAGGCGGUUUGUCGCGUCUGCUGUGAAAACCCGAGGCUCAACCUCGGGCCUGCAGUGGGUACGGGCAGACUAGAGUGCGGUAGGGGAGAUUGGAAUUCCUGGUGUAGCGGUGGAAUGCGCAGAUAUCAGGAGGAACACCGGUGGCGAAGGCGAGUCUGUGGGCCGAUAUCGACGCUGAGGAGCGAAAGCGUGGGGAGCGAACAGG